AUUUUGAAGUCAACACAGUCGCUACAGUCCCAUUAGUUUUCUUUGUAGCCUCGUUUGAAUGUUGCGGUUGCACACAUUUGUACGGAAUGGGGGAUGAUGAUGCAAUCCUUGCAAGAGGGAGGGAAUCUGAUUACAUAUUGGUCCUCAACUCACAACUCUGUCAUUUCAUUCAGGGUUAUUAAGAGGCCCACAGCGAUAGAAGACUGUAGCUGUGUACACAGAUUUCUGAAGAGGAAAGCCGUUUUCUUGCCUGAUACAUGUUUCUUCAUUUGAGCAAAAUGAAGUUACUCAGCCACUCCCAAAAACUGCUGUGUUGUUUGCCUAGUGCUCGUCUUAAAAGGGACAGAUUUAAUUUCCUUACAUAGGACUGGACUCUCUGCUCUCUAAUAUUUAUUAUCUUCUGUUCUCUACUAAAUAAUAGCCUUCUGCUCAUAUAGUGUAAAUAGGGUUACCCAUGCUUCUGUAUGAAAUAGCAGAAGAAUUGCUGGUGGAGUGAGAUCUGUCCUCCUUCCUCUAAGUGGUGCAAUAGUAGUGACUAGGACACUGGACAGGCAGUAAGAAUUCACCCCAGACUAUCAGGCAUAAGUUCCACAGUUUCAAGUGCCACAGGACAGCAGUCAGCUGUAUGCACCAAACCACUUAGAAUCAUAAUUGCAAGAAGCAAACAAACACUGUAACACAUUCCAGAGAGUCACUCACACAUACCAAAUAACUUUUUACGUUUCAUUUGCUGAAAUCUGUGAUGCAACCUUUUAUACUUUUAAAAUGUAUUUUACCAAACAUUCAUUAGCAAAAGCACGCACACACCAAUUUUAGUAACAUGCAUUUGAAUUUCAAAGUGAGUAUUUAACCAACACCUUAGUUAUUUUAGUGCCUGGAUUUCACUGAGUAGACUCCAUGAAUAUCCUAGAUGUUUUGGAGAGCUGACCAUCAACAUGGUUAUUUCAAGGUUAAACCAACCUAAUUUUCCAUGACAGUGUAUGUGUGGGCUGGAGAAAAUACUGGCAAAACCCAAUGCGUUUUAAUUAACCACUACAUAACAUUGAUAUGCAUGUACAUGCGUGAAGCAGAAUCACUCUAAGGUACAUCUUUUGAUGUUAACAAAGGAAGACAAAUUGUGUCCCCACCAGCCCAGCCUUCAAAUCAUAAACUGUACUAUAGAGUGCAGUACUGAUCAAAACCUAUUCUUGUCGAUUUAUGACCUCUGUUUUCUAUCCCUUUGAGCGUUGUAGACAGGGCUUUGAGAGAGUAGUAAAUUACCGGUAUGCGCUAUUAAGUGUGCAUUGGACGUUGAGAGAUUCCUGUUGCAAGCUUGAAAAAGGACAAAUGGAUUCUGAAAGUGGUUUUUCUAAGAAAUUAGAACAAAAGGGAGAAUGUAAUCAAAAUGAAGGCUUAUGUGGACAGUGCUUAGUCCUUUUCAUACCAUUGUGCAAUUUUUGUGCAAUUUUUAUUCUGGGCAGUAAUUUAUUCUGUAAUCUUUGCCUGCCAAGAGGAUAAAAACAACACUGUUUAAGAAUUUUCUCUCUAUGCAGAGAGUCUGACAAAUGGUAAAUCAGAAUAAUUAUGUACACAUUUUUUUCUGCUAGGCUUUCCAUCUACUUACUUUGUAUGUAUGUUCCCUAUAACUUUGAUUCACAAUGCCUACCAUGAGACAGUAUACACAAUAAUAAUUAUAUUCAUGAAGUUACUAAAGUGGACUACCCCGUCUCUCCAGAAGUGUAAUUCAACACAAUUCAACUAUGAAAAAGUAGCAAAGGUAGCAGAAAAAAAAGUUGAUGAGAUGCUGCCACUGAUGAUGCCCUGAUGCACUGUGGGAAGGUGUGGGCCGCCUAAGUGUACAUUGCACAUUUGAGGAGUUAACGUACCUCAACCAAUGAAUAAUAUUACACUCAUCUUGAUUCUAGGUCAUACUUUUACACUCUUUGUAUGUUCUUUGAAUAAAGCUAUCUUCAUUGCACACUGGUUUCCACAUUUAACACAAUCAAAGUCAGAAGUUAGUGUAGCCACACGUCACAUAACACAUUUGUGCCAUUAAGGAAGCUUUGGGUACCAAUAAGAAAGCUUGACCACGAAAGAGGAUUCCAGCAAAGAAGAAAGAAAACUGGAACGCUCCAUAUAAAUUAAGCAAAACCGAAAGAAUAACACCCAACACAUUAUUGAAUUCAGAGAACAUGAGACAAUUCGCAAAAAAGAGCACGUAGCAUUUAAUAUAAAACACCUCAGACAUAGGAAGUGUUUCAUUAUAGAUGAGGGUCUGAGUGAGAGAUAUGGCAGGGGGGGACUCCAUCUUGGUACAAGCCUUUUCCACCUUAUCUGAUUAGCCCAAACCUAAAUGAUAUUAAUUGGUGAUGUGAUAUCCCCCAGUUCGCUCCGCGGAUGGACGACUAAAUGAAUCAUCCCACCCCUUCUCUCCUGAUGACUUAUCAGAUCUGACAUGUUUGUAUGAUAAAUGUAAUUGCGUUUAUUUUGGGCCUCCACUGCUGUCUGCUGAAGGAGAUCGCAUUACUCAUUCAUUUGAAUGAUUCCCCUUCAUUUAAAACAAAGCAACUUAAUUCUGGAAGGUCCAAAAGAGUAUAAUAUGUUUUUCUGCAUGAAUAAUAUAAUAAUUAAGGGAAGAACUGAGGUGAAACUGCUUUGGGAAACUUUGGGUUAAAAUGCUUGACCACUAAAAAUUCUUUAGGCAUCCAGUGAAAGUCUCGAGCUGAAUGACAAAACUAUGAUGUUGACCUUUGCUCAUUAUUUGCCAUACAAGUUCUGUACACCCAGAGGCAUGGAAAUGGCUACAGCUAAAAAUAAGAGUGACCUUUUUGGUAUGAGUUAGACCGAGACACUUUAAGUACACUCUGGUAAAAUAAUAUGAACCAAACAUGUAAAGUAUAGGAGGAUUUUGUUGCUAUGCUUCACAUGGGAAUACCUUCCUUAAAUAUGGAUUGUAUGUCCUCAGUCUAUUGAAGUCUGAACUAUUGACCCAAACCACAUUGUCAUUGAUCCAAGUAAUGUGGACUCUGAGAUAGUGUCAAU